CAUUGUGUCACCAGGUUCUCGUGGUGAAGGUGGUAUCCUUAGAAAUAGUGAAGGUGAACGGUUCAUGGAACAAUAUGCCCCUACUGCAAAAGAUCUUGCUUCUCGUGAUGUUGUUUCAAGAUCAAUGACAAUGGAAAUUAGAGAAUGACGUGGUGUAGGGCCAUUGAAGGACCACAUUUAUUUGCAUCUGAACCAUCUGCCGCCUGAGGUUCUCAAAGAAAGGCUCCCUGGUAUUUCUGAAACUGCUGCUAUUUUUGCUGGUGUUGACGUUACAAAGGAGCCCAUUCCAGUUUUGCCUACUGUGCACUACAAUAUGGGUGGUAUCCCAACGAACUACCAUGGGGAGGUAGUGGAUAUCAAGGGUGAUAAUCCAGAUGCUGUUAUCCCUGGUCUAAUGGCUGCUGGUGAAGCAGCCUGUGCAUCUGUCCAUGGUGCAAAUAGGCUAGGCGCAAAUUCACUUCUUGACAUAGUUGUUUUGGCAGAGCUUGUGCAAACAGGGUAGCAGAUAUUUCUAAA